UGCAAGAGGCGCGUUGUUGGCGGGAAGAAAAAUGAAACUCGCCAUGUGGCUGUCGUUAAUCAUCACUGUAAUCAGCAGCACGUCUUUAUGUAUGAUCAGCAGUUGCCAUAUAACAAGAAUUUAGCUGCAUUGCAUUUUACUGCUUGCAGAACACGUGUUGGACUCGAUUUUGCUAGUGAUCUUGUGAUUGUUUCAUAGUUUGUUGUUCAUACUAUAAGUUGUGCUAAAAAAUAUAGUUAACUAGGGGAAAAUAUACCACUGACUUAUUUAUCUAUUGCUUCAGAUCAUGCAUUGACUUUAUCAUAAAGCGUGCAUUUUUGUCGUGCGAAAAUCGUAACGGGAAUCCGGAUGUGAGGUUCCACGUGUUUCCUCAUGGUGCGAUUAUGUUUCAACACUGGAUGGACGUUGUGAAUAAUCCAGCAUUGUCUAAAUUAACUCAUACUACUGUUAUUCGGUAUGCAAUAACCAUGUUAUAGUAUCUCAAUUACAAACUCCCGAAAGGAAGAGGCUGCUGACAAAAGCUAUUCCCAAAAGUUUUAUAGCUCCUAACAUUUGCAUGCCAUCGGCUAGUGAUUCGGAGACACAUCCGCACACAGGUAUAGAAACUUCUCAUGAUGAUUCUACUUCUGUCGAACGGGAACAAGAAUCAACUUUUUCGAAGCCUACGCAUAAUGUAGAUAGUGAAAUCGUAUUUAAUAGGUUUACCGCGCCAUGUGAGAAGCGAAUUGCUUCAUUCGAUUGGAGUAACCAGCAGGAACAGAAUGACCCCAAGGAAACAACUUCUAUUUUACAAGCUAUGCAGCAUGAGGAGGACAUUGAAACGUUAUGAGCAUAAUUGGAAGAGUUGCAGGAAAGACGUAUUCGGGGUAAAGAAUGAAAGUAAUCUUUUAAACAAUAAAACUUAGAAUUGUUUAGAAUAUGAUAGAAUACAUUUUUCCUAUUGCAGCUACGUCAAAAAUGUUUAAUGGAAUCUUAAACAUUUCAAUAAUUUGUUGCCCUUUGCAUGACGAAUAUAUGUAAUAAAACGGUAGUUUCGGAAUGUAUUAUUUAUAAUAUGUGAAAAUAUAUUUUGCUUCUAAUAAAUCGAAAAUUAAGCCGCAGAAAGAUAGCCGCAACAAUGCUAUAGUGGAUCAAUACAUCCAAAAAUUUGCACCAAAUGGUAUAAGUCGUUUUCGUAUUAUUAUUUUAUAGAAAGGCAGAUUUUGACAUCAAUAAUUUUGUUUAUUUGUUCCUUUUACAUGCUUUUGAAGUUUUUGCUUUUACGUGUUUAUCAUUUAUACGUCUGUUUGUCCUGUUUCUGUUAUAUAUGUUGAUCGUUUAUAGGGUGUACUUUGUUCUUUCCUAUUUCUGUUAUUAUAAAUAUGUUUAUCAUU